GUACUAAUUAAGAAAAUAUAAAAGAAUUAAUAAAAAGGUAUUUUAAUUUUAUUUACAAGUUAAUAGGAAUAAAUUAUUAGUAAUAUGAAUUUGUUAGGAAUUUCCGGAAUUUUUAAAAAAAGAGUAACCUAAUCGACCUAGGGUUACUACCUUUUGGAAGGGAGUAUAAAAAGAAAAGGAGAGGGAAUUUCAGAAAACCCUAACCCUUUCUUCUCCCUCUCUCCCAGCCGACUUUUCUUCUUCCACUCUCUCUCCUCAGCCGAUUUUCAUACCCUUCUUCUCUCUCUUUCGAAUUUUUUCUUCUCCUCUCUCUCAGAUCUCCUCUCUCUCGGGUUUCUCUCACUGUCUUUCUUCGUUGGCCUCGUGCGAAACAUUCCGACGAAGGUUUUGUGUGGUUCGAGCGGUGCGCAGGCGUCGUGGGUCGAGUGUGCGCGAGUGGUCGGGAGUCUGCCCGGGAGUUGGUGCGAGCGACGAGGUGGUUCGAGCGCGCGAGGGUUGGUGCUGCGCGUGGUUGGCUCGAGGCUCGUGCGAUUUCAGGCGAAGCCUUCGUCCGCGGGUUCGUGCGUGUGUGUGUGUGGUUCGAGUGCUGCGACGGGGGUGUCGCGGUGUUCGAGGGCUGCGCGCGAGAAAACCGGGGUCGCGUGUGUGAAGUUUGGGCGACAAAGACCGCACGGGUGUGUCGCGCGAAGUAGUAGCGUGCGUGUGCGUGACAGCGAAGGCCACCGGAGUUCCGUCGCCGGAAUUUUGUGCCGGCGAAAGUCAGUGGUCCCAAUUUCAUAAGCGGCUCGUUCUAUUAAGUCAGCGAAAAUUCUCCGUUACAAGACUAGGUGUGCUGGUGUUGCUGCAUAUUCUCGAGCAUAUGGGGACUAGGCUUUGGUAUUUACAUUAAAGCAGUUUUAAAUAAGUAUUAUUGGUUUUUCUAAGACUUAUAUAAAUGGUUUGUGGUUUGAAGAAAGGGGUCAUUGAUGAUUCCCGAGUUGUAUUUAUAUUUUAAUUCCGCUGCAUUUUAGUUUUCAAGAUGAUGUUUUAAGUUAUCGUUAACUCUUAUUAUGCCUUGCGUUCCAUCGCGGCGGUAACGCCCCCGAAGUCGACGCGACGUAGCAGUGGUAGACGCGUGUGGAUUUUGGGGGUGUUACAAAACUGGUAUCAGAGCCGAAGGCUCUGAAUUUCAAAGACGUUUUAAAAA